rnacentral:rRNA from 1 species
AGGAACCCUAGGCCCACGAGCCAAUCUCGCGGCCGUCUCCCUCGCUUCCUCCGCAGCCUCGCAGCCGCCUCCCCCGCUCCCUCCGCACCGCAGCCGCCCUCCACAGCCCGCAGCCGCCUUCCCCGCUCCCUCUGCACCUAGCCCCCCGCUCCCCUCCUUCUCUACUCUGCUCUCCACUAUGCCGCCUCCUCCUCUCUCACUUUUCUCUCCGGCGGCGGUGCCAAAGAAGGCGCACACGGGCGGUGGAUCCGUGCCGGAGAAGAGCUGCGGGACUGCGCUUCGGUCGUGGUGGGGUGCAGCCGCGGGGAAGACGAACUUGGUCCGCCGCCCGUCUUCACCUUCUCGCCGCGACCUUGCUGCCUCCAUGGCCAAACACACGUAUUUUUUUUUUCUGUCCCUCCAUGGCGCUCGUUGCCGGCGGCAUCUCUCUUUUCCCCCUUACCCUCCCUUUUUAUCUACCUGCUGUUGCUCAUCCUCCAAUCUCUUAAAUUCAGACAGGCUGGACGCAACGCACACGGUCUAGGAAGGCCACGACAUGACUAGAUAUUUGCUUGCUUGGUUUAGUCGCUUGUAAUCAGUGUACAUGCAUGUGACUUGUCCAUGUUAGCUUUUGUUUUUGCAGAUUAUCGGUUAUUUUUUGUGUUCGAACUUUUUUUGUGUUCUUUUAUUAUCAAUUGUAGGUGCUGCUUCUAUCUUCUGGAAGUUAACAGCAUUUUUCCUUGUAAAAUCCUCACACCAGGCUGUCAUUGACAAGGAAAGGAGAGGAGACUACUUGAAGAAAACGUCCAGGUUGGGCCACAUAUCACAGAUGGAAUUCAGGAUUGGAUCGAAUGCGUGGCGAUAAAGCUGGUUGACGGUAAACAAGGGACUCCUGAUGUUUGUGUGAUAGUUUCGUUGGAACUAUAGGGACAAAAUCUUUUCUCACCGCGCAUAAUGACAGUGGCACUCUUGAUGAGGGGAUAUUGAAUCAAUGCAUUUUAUUGAAGCAUUAGGUCAAUUUUCAUACCGUGUAGGACCUGGAAAUUUUUGCCUCGUCCAUGUCAGCCUUGUUCCAGUACUAAAUGUAGUUGGUGAGCAGGUAUGUUUUACUCAUUUGAACAAUGAGCUAAGAUAAUGAGAAGUUGCUGCAAUGCUUGCAGUUCUAUUGAGGUCCAUGUCAUGUGGUAUUACUAUAUGCUAAAUAGGCACUUUUUGCAAAGAAAUAUAAGUACGUUCUUGAAAAACCAUUUUUCUGAAUGAUAUGAACUAUGAAAGUGUAAUUGUACUUUGUAGUAGUUUCUGCUGAGAUGCAAUUUGGCUUAGGCAAAGUGGCAUUCGUUAUUAUAGUAAAAAUGGAAAGAGGUUACGAACAUAGAAAAUAUUGAAUUAUUGACGGAUCUCUCAAAACAGUCUCAGCUGGUUGUAGGUUGUUUGGUGAGGUUGCAGCUUGCAGGUUGCUGAGUUUCUCCUCUCUGCUUGUUGGUUUUCUUUGAUUAGUAGAACAAGUAGCACACCACGUGUUUGUGAAAAUGCUUCUCACAGAUGAAACUUUUUGUGUGCCUAGACCUGCCUUCUUUCUUAGGAGAAUAUGCUUGCUGAGACAUUAUGGUCUAAAUUUCAUAAAUAAGUUCGUGCAUUUCUUUUCCUGGGUUCAUUUAGGUAUCUAGAACGUGUGUUCCUUAUGUGUUUCUGUCAUUGUGUGAUGGUAUUUAUGUAUUUAACUUUUUGGAACUUUGUUUCAAGAUUUGCAUAGAGCGGACCACCUUGCAACAGUGUUGGGUUAUAUAACCCAUGGUUUCUUCAUGAUUCGACUUUAUUAUCAGAUCCAUGCAAGAGAACCCGGGUAGCAUGAUUUUGGCAGGAGAAAGGAGGAUUAUCAUUUCUAGAGGUGAGUUGAGCUACAGCUUGGUUGGAGAUGUUGGUGCGGUUCAAGAGGCCCGCUGGGUUCACCCUUUUCAAGGUUCUAAACCAGGGCAAGCUCAACAAGGUCGAGGAUCUAUGGAAGGAGUUCACGACUCGGACUCGACGAGAAAGUUUUGUGCUUCAUUUUUUUUAUGGCAAAAUAACUUCUCUUUUUGAAACAAUUAGUACGUCAUAUAUCUAUCACAUUAUAAUAGAGUAAGUCAACAAAAUCCCUUUUAUUUGAAUGAACAAGAAUCCGUUGUGUGCUGCUGAGCUAUGUGCCCCUUUUCCAAAUGUUAGAAAGGUUAUCUUAGUUGUCACAUAGAAGUUGGUUUGGGCUUCUAGGCUCAUUUGAUGUUUGCAUGACUUAUUUGAACCCGAUGCCGGCCUCACCGGCAUCCUGAGGUGACACAGCGACGGCCAUGCUCGACACCCUCUUUCGCGACUUGACGACAGCCUAGCGUCAUAGGCAGCUCAUCGGUGGUCCAGCGGAUGGCGACCCAUUUGGGUGGGUGACGACGACCGCAGCUGGUGCACAAGCUCACACUCCACCAGUCCGUACUCAACUCUUCGUCUCGGGUGCGGACUGAGAGUUGGAUGCUCUGUGCCAGGAUAUGAAAGUUUUGUGACCAUUGUUGUGCCAGCUGUGAGAUUUGUAAAAAAAAUUCUUGGGAUCCAUCUAUUCAACCAUGUUGGAGUAGGCUAUAUGAUCUUUUUAGUUCUGACCACAUAUGCUUCUUCCUUGGUCUGUUCACCAAGUCAUGGACACCGACUUAAAAAAUGAACAAUGCUACCCCUUCAGCUGCAGGUGCAGGGUUGACAGUGACAGUAGAUGGAGCUUCUCUGACCGCUACUGAAGACACCGCUGAACAGCUUAACCAGACAAAGACAAAGUGCUAUUAUGUAGGCAUGGUUUAAAAACUAUAGCCUUUGGCUGGUCAAGUAGCCUUGCCAAAGCGUUUGUGUAAUCUCUACAAGUGGUAUGAAGCAAAUUCUAUGUAUAUAACACACACGAUGCAGAUAAUAAUUAUAUAGAAGCAGAGAAUCAACCUUGCUAGAGCGUUUGUCAAA